UGGGGAAUCUUGCACAAUGGGGGAAACCCUGAUGCAGCGACGCCGCGUGAACGAUGAAGCCCUUCGGGGUGUAAAGUUCUUUCGGCAGGGACGAUAAUGACGGUACCUGCAGAAGCAGCUGCGGCUAACUACGUGCCAGCAGCCGCGGUAAUACGUAGGCAGCAAGCGUUGUUCGGAAUUACUGGGCGUAAAGAGUGCGUAGGCGGUUGGCUAAGUUUGGUGUGAAAUCUCCCGGCUCAACUGGGAGGGUGCGCCGAAAACUGGCUGGCUAGAGUGCGGGAGAGGAUAGUGGAAUUCCUGGUGUAGCGGUGAAAUGCGUAGAUAUCAGGAGGAACACCUGAGGUGUAGACGGCUAUCUGGACCGUAACUGACGCUGAGGCACGAAAGCGUGGGGAGCAAACA
rnacentral:rRNA from 1 species